AGGUCGGGGGCGGGUCCAGGUAGAGCUGCCCUGCGGCGGCGCGGAAGCCCGGCUUCGGGGCUAGGCCGGGUUCAGGUAGGGCGGACGGAGGGGCGGCGGAGGGGGGCAGGGCGGCCGCCAUGAGGUACUGCCGCCUCUGCGCCUUCGACGCCGACCGGGGACCCAGGCGGCUGAUGCGCGUGGGCCUCGCGCUGAUCCUGGUGGGCCACGUGAACCUCCUGGUGGGAGCUGUGCUGCAUGGUACUGUCCUGCGGCAUGUGGCCAACCCCCGUGGGGCGGUCACGCCGGAGUAUACCACUGCCAAUGUCAUCUCCGUGGGCUCGGGACUGCUGAGCGUUUCCGUGGGACUUGUGGCCCUUUUGGCAUCCAGGAAUCUUCUUAGCCCACGACUGCACUGGGCCCUGCUGAUGCUGGCCUUGGCGAACCUGCUCUUGUCUGCUGCCUGCUCCAUGGGCCUCCUCCUUGCUGUGUCGCUCACUGUUGCCAAUGGUGGCCGCCGUCUUAUUGCUGAUUGCCAUCCAGGACUGCUGGAUCCUUCCAUACCGCUGGACCAGGGGCCUGGACACACUGACUGUCCUUUUGAUCCCACAAGAAUUUAUGAUACAGCCUUGGCUCUCUGGAUCCCUUCUCUGUUCAUGUCUGCAGUGGAGGCUGCUCUUUCUGGUUACUGUUGUGUGGCUGCACUCACCCUACGGGGAAUUGGGCCCUGCAGGAAGGAAGGGUUGCAGGAACAGCUGGAGGAACUGACAGAGUUUGAACCUCCUGAGUGUAAAAGGCAGGAAAAUGUUCAGCUGCUCCAUCACCAUCAGGAUCUCCAGGCCUCACAGAAAACCUGGGUUUAGGAAAGGCGGAUCAUGUCGUCAUACAACUUGUGCUUUUUGAACAUGGUGAUGGCAAGAUCGGGCUCCUCCACUGUCACAUACAGCCUGAGGACAGGGGAGCACCUGGAACCUCCUACAGCUACAUCCCCACUGCUGCUGCUUCUGGGCCAAGGCCACCAGCGUCACGCCCAUCCCUUCUCCAGGCUCUGAAGCCUCAGCUCCCUCCACACUCACCUUUCAGCCUCUCGGUACUUUCCCUGCUUCUCCAUUUCCUGGGCCUGCGUGAUGUACAGCACCGACACGUCUUCCGGGCGCAUGCACUUCAUGGCCAACUGUGAACACGGAACCCAGGACGGCCUAUACUAGUUUUGCUGAAGCUAUUCUGAAGAAUCACCUGAGCUGGCACAGGAAGAGAUCACCGUGUCUGGGGCAUGCUGGGAUGACAGCAGGGAAGUGAACCUCCUCACUCGCGGUGACACUGUUUGAACUCCAGCAAGAAGGGCUUGAUGAACUGUCCUUGGUGAGCCCACAUCCUGUUCCAGGGACCCUCCCCAGCACCCUGCGCUGUGCUGCUGCAGCGCUGCAGAAAGGGACUUUUCCUCACCUCAUACUCCUGCAGAGACGCGUAGUGCUGGGCCACACGAGGGUAGUAUUUAGACGCAGUGUUUCGAUCCUGGAGAUCUAAUAUAUAAAUUGCCUUCUUCCACUGGCGGGCGCCCAGGGCAGCCUCAAUCGCUUUAAUGGAGCACCUGGCAUAGUCAGGGAAGACAUUAAAUACGUAGAGAAAAGAGGGUGAAAGAAGUGAAGAGACCCUCUGAGCACAUUCUAACCUA